rnacentral:tRNA from 1 species
CAUUGGAUGGCUGAUAAAAGCAAUGGAAUUUUAAACCAUUUAUAGUAAUUUUACUUCUAAUGA